rnacentral:rRNA from 1 species
AUUGAACGCUGGCGGCAGGCCUAACACAUGCAAGUCGAGCGGAUGAAGGGAGCUUGCUCCUGGAUUCAGCGGCGGACGGGUGAGUAAUGCCUAGGAAUCUGCCUGGUAGUGGGGGAUAACGUCCGGAAACGGGCGCUAAUACCGCAUACGUCCUGAGGGAGAAAGUGGGGGAUCUUCGGACCUCACGCUAUCAGAUAAGCCUAGGUCGGAUUAGCUAGUUGGUGGGGUAAAGGCCUACCAAGGCGACGAUCCGUAACUGGUCUGAGAGGAUGAUCAGUCACACUGGAACUGAGACACGGUCCAGACUCCUACGGGAGGCAGCAGUGGGGAAUAUUGGACAAUGGGCGAAAGCCUGAUCCAGCCAUGCCGCGUGUGUGAAGAAGGUCUUCGGAUUGUAAAGCACUUUAAGUUGGGAGGAAGGGCAGUAAGUUAAUACCUUGCUGUUUUGACGUUACCAACAGAAUAAGCACCGGCUAACUUCGU